AGCAGGUGGUUCUUGGUGACUGUUAGCAGCUCAUAGGUAUACAGGGUAUCACAAAAAUAUUCAGGGCCUACAAGCUCUACUCUUGUGAACUUGAAGCCCGAUUUUAACUCGCGCCCGUUGGGGAUGAUGGCGCUACUGUCACUCCUUUCGCGCCAUUGAGUUCAUAUUCUGUGUACGUUUAUUCUAUGGCAAACGCGCUCGGCAACGUGCGGCAAAAUUUCAACUCCAUAUGGUCAUAACCAAAGAGGAUUAGAUAGAAUGGAAGGUCCCAUAAAAGCGCUAUAUAAAAAAUCGUAUACGAGUUUCAGUGCCCUCUGGUGAGUGGGAACCGUAUUAAGCACCCCCUCCUUUCGUCUCACUCCGCAAGUUGCUCCGUAGUUCUAUAAUCCCAGAAAUCUCAGGUCACAAAUUUGAAUUAUGUGAACUUACAUUCACAGGUGGGACCUAAGGACAAUGUGAGACCUACGAACUACGUGGGACCUGGAACCAGCAGAGACUCCGACGCACUUGCCUAUAAUGUGCUUCCUAGAUCAUCCAGAGGUUGCACUGUCCAAAGAAAUCAAGUUCAACCAGCUAUCAGGAAAGGUGACAUCCUGAAAAUGAUUAGGUCGAGCAACUUGACCAAACCCAGGAAGCUCAAGAUCUAGAAGGCUGUGGCUACGCGGGGAUACCAAUUGCGAAUAUGAAAAAUCCGGAGGCUUUUUAGUCAACUUAAAAAAAUUUUUGCCAGUUGCUUCACGUGCAUCGACGGAUGAAACUAUUUCCAUUGCAUUAAAUUUUAAUGUUUCGAGUGCACCUGAAUUAUCUAUUCAGGCUGCCAUUCUAUAUGUAUCGCGAAUUGUUCGUAAGAAAAUUUGUUGUAGAAUUUGUUUAGAUUUAUAUUAUAACACUAACGAUGUCGGAGAAUAUACGUCGAUGCAUAGUGGAUGUAUAUCUUUAAUUUCUAAGGUCGUAUCUGUUUGCCAUGGUAAUGUUAAGAACAUGGCACAUAUUCCAGGGCUUGUUACGAUUCUUAAAUACCAAAUUUCAGAGCAUAUAAAAUUUGAUUUCAUAUGCUCCGAACAUGGCAAUAAUUUAACAACAUAUAUCAUACAUAAUUGUAUCAUAUAUGUUGUCGAAAAAUAUAUACGUAGAGUAAAUCGCGUUACAAGUGGAUUCGAAGAGAGAAUGGACUCGGAUCCACUUCUAACGCGACCUAUUAAUGUGAGUGUGCAAAAUUAUGCACGCAGGACUGGAUUCAUGUUUUAAUGGAAUUAUGUUUCAAUUUUUAAUAUUUUACAUUUGCUUUCUUUUAAUUAAAUUUUAUUUCCCUAAUAAUAAAUCCAGUCCUGUAUGAAGCUUAUACUUUAUGUUUACACUUUAUUAUGUGAAUAUACAGGGUGUCCCAGAACUUCUGUAAGAACCGGAAAUGGAGGGUAGCUGAUACGUUUCUGAACAACAAUUUCCUUUGCAAAAAUGUCGGUGGGAGCUUCAUUUUUCGUUAAUAAUUCAAAAAUAAAGCCUCCAACAACAUUUUUGCAAAGGAAAUUGUUGUUCAGAAUCGUGUCAGCUACCCCCCAUUUCCGGUUCUUACAGAAGUUCUGGGACACCCUGUAUAUGCAUUUUUAUAUUACUGUUGCGUUUGUAUUUUUAUAUAUUUUAUAUGUACGAAUAUGUAUGAGUGUGUGGAUUGUAAUGCAAUCGUAUGUAUGAAUGAAUACAUAUAUAUACGUAAACAUUUAAAACCAGCAAGAGUCACGGUUCUUCGACUAAGAUCAUCAGUGAUCAUGUUCUUAGGCGCAAAGCCACGAUUCUCACUGAUUUUAAAUGUUUACACUUUAUUAUGUGAAUAUAUAUGCAUUUUUAUAUUAUUGUUCCGUUUGUAUUUUUAUACAUUUUAUUUGAAUGUAUAUGUAUGAUUGUUGAUACUUUAUUAUGUAAUUAAAUAUGUUUUUUGUAUAUAUAUUUUAUACAAUUGAAUUUUAGAUUCUUUAUUGUUUUUUCAAUGUUUUCCAGUGAUAAUAAAUUUAAUUUUGUAUAAGUAGUCCUUUUUUCCCUAUAAUUAUUUUUUUAUUUAAAUUAAUUUUAAAGCAAGUAUAAAUACACAUACGUGGGAUCAUACCGUUGUGUGUGUGUCUCACGAAUUAUAUGUAUGCAGUAGUAACGACAUUUGCGCCAUCAUCCGCGACGGGCGCGAGUUAGAUUGGGUUUCAACGCUAAA